rnacentral:rRNA from 1 species
GAUGAACGCUGGCGGCGUGCUUAACACAUGCAAGUCGAACGAAGCAUUUGCGACAGAUUUUUUCGGAAUGUAGUUGCUUAUGGCUGAGUGGCGGAUGGGUGAGUAACGCGUGGGUAACCUGCCUCUUCCUGGGGCCUAGCAGCUGGACACGGCUGGUAAUACAGCAUAAGCGCCAAAUGUUGCAUGACAUGGUGUGAAAACUUCCGGUUGUAUAAGAUGGACCCGCGCCUGUUUAGAUAGUUGCUGAGAUCACAGCCCACCAUGGCGACGAUCCGUAGCCGAGCAGAGAGAGUGGGCGGCCACAUUGAGACGAGGACACAGCCCAGACUCCUACGGGAGGCAGCAGUGGGGAAUAGUGCACAAUGGAGUAAGCGCUGAUGCAGCGACGCCGCGUGAGUGAAGAAGUAAUUCAUUAUGUAAAGCGCUAUCAGCAGGGAAGAUAGUGACGGUACCUAACUAGGAAGCUCCGGCUAAAUACGUG